GCGGCGGUGGCGAAACUGGUAGACGCACUACUUUGAGGUGGUAGCGCCUGUAACGGGCGUGGGAGUUCGAAUCUCCUCUGCCGCACUA
rnacentral:tRNA from 1 species